rnacentral:rRNA from 1 species
GACGAACGCUGGCGGCGUGCUUAACACAUGCAAGUCGAACGGAAAGGCCCUGCUUUUGUGGGGUGCUCGAGUGGCGAACGGGUGAGUAACACGUGAGUAACCUGCCCUUGACUUUGGGAUAACUUCAGGAAACUGGGGCUAAUACCGGAUAGGAGCUCCUGCUGCAUGGUGGGGGUUGGAAAGUUUCGGCGGUUGGGGAUGGACUCGCGGCUUAUCAGCUUGUUGGUGGGGUAGUGGCUUACCAAGGCUUUGACGGGUAGCCGGCCUGAGAGGGUGACCGGCACCAUGGGAACGAGGUAACGGCCAGGACUCCAACGGAGGGAGGCGGGGGGAAUAUUGGCAAAUGGGCGGAAGGCCGGAGCAGGAAACGCGCGGGGGGGAUGGCGGGCUUCGGGGUGUAAACCGGUUUCGGCUGGGACGAAGGGGGAGGGACGGGUAUGGGGAAAGAAACAACCGGCAAACUAGGUG